rnacentral:other from 1 species
AAUCCCCUGCGGUGUUCGAUGAAACCGUACAUUCCGUGAACCAUCUCAAGCGAAUGGUUGCUGACUAACAAUCGCUGGUGUGUACGCCCCUCGCGGGCGAACCUGAAGCGGAAAGGAAGUGACCCCCUGAACCCUAAGUUCAGGAUAAUCGGCGGAAACGGCACUCGCGGGGGCCAA